ACCAUCCACGACCUCCUGAAAGUCAUGUGGGCCCAGGCCCGCACGCCAAAGCAAUGGACGGAAUCCGUUACGGUCCUUCUACCAAAAGCAGGAGAUGCGCUCCUCCUGAACAACAAGCGACCCAUUGCCCUCGCCAACACUCUUUAUAAGUUAUGGACUAGCCUCGUCACAGUGUCCAUCGGGGACGUCGCUCCCGAACUAGCGUUGUUUAGCGAGGCGCAAGAAGGGUUCCUCCGGUACAGAAACACGGAACGGCAAAUCCAAAACCUGCUCCACGUCAUUGAGGAUGCUGGGCUCACACGCAAAGAUCUCUACCUGCUAUACGUCGACUUCUCCUCGGCAUUCAACACCAUCAACCACGACCUGCUGCUACAGAUCAUGUACGACCUAGGGCUACCCGAGGACCUCAUCUAUGUCGUACGGGACCUGUACAGCCAAGCGCGGACCACUAUACGGACAGAACACGGCCACACAGCGCCAAUAAUGAUCGAACGAGGCACAGUACAGGGGGACACACUCUCGCCGGUGCUAUUCAUUAUUUUCCUCGAACCACUCCUCCGAUGGCUCCACGCUGGCGGACGAGGGUACAAAUACGGCUGCCUCCCCGACAGCUUGAACGCCAGGUACCAUGGAAGCUCAGCUGCCUACGCCGACGACCUCGCCGUGAUGACCAACAGCGCACAAGACCUACAAAUACAAUGCGACAAGAUCAGCUUGUACUCGAAAUGGGCGGGCCUACACGUGAAUCACAAAAAAUGCGCAGUGACGGGCAUCCUGCACCACAGGGCAUGGGCCGACCGAGGCCUGAACGGACCCACAUGUGCACGCACCCUCAAGGCAGCCUUGGAUGAAAAAAUCAAAAUCAGCGACCAGUCAGUGCCGUACCUACCCCCCACGGAACCCUACAAGUACCUUGGGGUCCACGUAACGCUGACCCUCAACUGGAGCGCACAGAUGUCCCACGUCUGCAAGGCGGUGAGGGACAAGGGCGACCUACUUCAGGGAUCCCUAGCAUCGCCGGACCAAUGUAUCAGAAUCAUACAGACUUGUAUACAAGCGGUAGUGUCAUACAGCUUCUCCACCAUGGCAUACACUCCUAAUGAUAUCAGACUUUUGGAUGCGAUGAUCGCACGAGCAGCCCGACGCUGCUACCGCUUGCCCACCAGUUUUCCCACACGCGCCGUGCUGCUACCGGUGGAACAAUAUGGACUCGGCGUUGGGUCCCUACUACCGAUCUAUGUGCGCAUGGCAGCUCGCGCGCUGGUCCUCUCCCUG
rnacentral:lncRNA from 1 species